rnacentral:rRNA from 1 species
GGCUCAGGACGAACGCUGGCGGCGUGCCUAAUACAUGCAAGUCGAGCGGAAUUGAUGAGGUGCUUGCACUUCUAGAUAUUCAGCGGCGGACGGGUGAGUAACACGUAGGCAACCUGCCCACAAGAUCGGGAUAACUAGCGGAAACGUUAGCUAAAACCGGAUAGUACCAAGGGAUGCAUAUUCCUUGGUGGAAAGACGGAGCAAUCUGUUACUUGUGGAUGGGCCUGCGGCGCAUUAGCUAGUAGGUGAGGUAAAGGCUCACCUAGGCGACGAUGCGUAGCCGACCUGAGAGGGUGAACGGCCACACUGGGACUGAGACACGGCCCAGACUCCUACGGGAGGCAGCAGUAGGGAAUCUUCGGCAAUGGACGAAAGUCUGACCGAGCAACGCCGCGUGAGUGAAGAAGGGUUUCGGCUCGUAAAACUCUGUUGCUCAAGGAAGAAUACCAAUCGGAGUAACUGCCGGUAUGGAUGACGGUACUUGAGAAGAAAGCCCCGGCUAUUUC